rnacentral:rRNA from 1 species
UUUUACCUACGGGGCGCAGCAGUGAGGAAUAUUGGUCAAUGGGCUUACGCCUGAACCAGCCAAGUCGCGUGAGGGAAGACUGCCCUAUGGGUUGUAAACCUCUUUUGUCAGGGAGCAACGCCGGCUACGUGUAGCCGGACUGAGAGUACCUGAAGAAAAAGCAUCGGCUAACUCCGUGCCAGCAGCCGCGGUAAUACGGAGGAUGCGAGCGUUAUCCGGAUUUAUUGGGUUUAAAGGGUGCGCAGGCGGAUUUUUAAGUCAGCGGUCAAAUCGUGGGGCUCAACCCCAUCCAGCCGUUGAAACUG